AUUGAACGCUGGCGGCAGGCCUAACACAUGCAAGUCGAGCGGUAGAGAGGUGCUUGCAUCUCUUGAGAGCGGCGGACGGGUGAGUAAUGCCUAGGAAUCUGCCUAGUGGUGGGGGAUAACGUUCGGAAACGGACGCUAAUACCGCAUACGUCCUACGGGAGAAAGCGGGGGAUCUUCGGACCUCGCGCCAUUAGAUGAGCCUAGGUCGGAUUAGCUAGUUGGUGAGGUAAUGGCUCACCAAGGCGACGAUCCGUAACUGGUCUGAGAGGAUGAUCAGUCACACUGGAACUGAGACACGGUCCAGACUCCUACGGGAGGCAGCAGUGGGGAAUAUUGGACAAUGGGCGAAAGCCUGAUCCAGCCAUGCCGCGUGUGUGAAGAAGGUCUUCGGAUUGUAAAGCACUUUAAGUUGGGAGGAAGGGUCGUAACCUAAUACGUUACGGCUUUGACGUUACCGACAGAAUAAGCACCGGCUAACUUCGUGCCAGCAGCCGCAGUAACAC
rnacentral:rRNA from 1 species